rnacentral:lncRNA from 1 species
GAUAAUGCCCUCUAGACAUGAAGAUGAGUCUCUACCUUUCAGGUCUCCCAGAGAUCACGUCUGCGGCGGGCUGAAUUAUGACGUUCUAGAAUACACCUGCUGUGAAGGAGUACGUCAUAACGGGGCGCAGCUGUCCUGCUGUGGAAACAGGGCCUUUAACCUCACCCAGGCUUCCUGUUGUGAAGGUCAACUGACUCUGAAUGUGAGCCAGCUGGUGUCAGAUUGCUGUGGGUUUAGGGCCUACGACCCACUCAACCAACUGUGUUGUGACUCACGGAUCCUAAACAGGACCCAUCCCCAUGCCAAGUGUUGUGGAAAAGAGUGUUACAAUGAAGACCACCAGCUUUGCUGUGGAAAUGUUGUCGAAGGAAGGAAGGUCCUGACCAAAAUGUCCAGUCACCACCGAUGCUGUGGAGACCGCCAGUUUGACCAGCAAAGCCACUGCUGCUGCUCUGAACCACUGUCCCCAGAGCCUCACAAUGCAAGCUGCUGUGCAUCAAGUUCUAAUGUUAGUGAAAAGCCAACCUGCUAGUUUUGUAUGGCUGUAAUGAAAGUUCACAUUAUGAUAGUUUGUCAUCUUUGUGUGUAUUUUGUUCUCUCUUUUUUUCAGCUGAGGGGAAUUGAUGCGAGUUCUCCAAACUGGUAAGGUUGACUUUGGCCUUCAACCACAUACUGAACCUCAUAAUGUCUCCCUUUUCUUUAUUCAAUGUUCAAUUUGAACAGUUCAUUAACAGUCAGGGUUUAAAAUAAUAUAUUUGAUGUCCAAUGGCUAAAAGCCACAAUGGGUGUCGCAUUCAUUUUAAAUGAUGCAUGUCAUUAAUUCAAAACACCCACUACAUGUCAGCUUUUCUGAAUGUUCUUUAAUAGAUUUCAUAUUAACUGAACAUUGCUUUAUUUUUGUUGUGGGUUUGGGCUUUUGGCCUAGGCCCGAGGCUUUGAAUAGUCUGCCAACAAGCAGUCACAGUGUGAUACUCUCCAGUGUGCUCUUUAACUUUAAACCUUUGUCUGUAGAACGAUAGUGGCGGAAUAAUUAAAAACAUGAUGAUGGACUAUGUUUUUUACAAAACAUUUUUUAACUAUGCUUGUAUGUGUGUAUUUGUAUUAUAUAUAGUGAGCUCCAAAAGUAUUUGUACAGUGAAAAGUUGUUGUUUAGGCUCUGUACUACAGCACUUUAGAUUUGAAAUGAUACAAUGACUGAGGAUAAAGUGCAGACCCUCAGAUUUAAUUUGGAGUAUUGGGGUAUUUUCAAUCAUAUUGGGGGAACCAUUUAGAAAUUACAGCACUUUUUGUAGAUAAUCCCCCCAUUUUAGGGGACUAAAAAUAUUGGGACAAAUUCACUUAUAUGUGUAUUAAAGAAGUCAAAAGUUUAGUAUUUGGUCCCUUAUUCCUAGCUCGC